GAAUGCACCAACAUCUUCUCAAAGGGUGGCGGAGAAUCGUUAGCUAAACAGAGUGGAGUACCUUUCUUAGGUUCAAUUCCCCUGGACCCUCAGCUCACGGCUAGCCUGGACCAGGGCAAGAAUAUUGCAGAGGCAUACAAGGACUCACCAGCUCUUGCGGCUAUUCAGGGAGUGGUGAAGAAACUGAUGAAGGUGGAUGAAUAUCUGCCAUGACAACAACACCAGCCAAUCAGGGACCUCCAAUAUAUUCCAUGCAGAGCUAGCAUUCACUGUGGAGCAUGGGAAGUGAAUAUAGUGCUGUCCAAAUGUUAACAGUACAUUCCUGUGUUGAUGUACGCGUGGCAGAUCAUGCAGCUCUCGUCACACCUUGUGAUGAUGUGAACAUGUAGUUUCUUUCCUCAUUAUAUGGUGCUCACAUCGUUGUUUCUAGAAAAGCAGGAAGUGAAUAGCAUCACCAUGGCAACUGUAGGAUCACGUGAAUGGUGUCAGCAUCGUGAUAACUGAAUAGUGUCCAUGUGUUAACCAUAAUAUAAACUGAUCCAUUGGACCAAUGAUAAUCUAAAUAAGAAUUGUAUAAACAUUUGAAGGUAUGCUGAAAAUUAUUGUUAAAUGGAAUCGAUCACAGAAAUAGUGCACAUGAACAGAAUCUUUAACUGCAUCUUUUGUCCAUAAUCAUGAAUUUGAAAAGAAAUAAGCUUGGCGAAUUUGAUGCCAUAUUAAUUAUAUAUUGUGAUCAAUAUAUAUAUCAGAACUUUCCACCCCCUCAUUCUGCUGUCUCAGAAGCAUGAGACAUUGUCCCUUUGUAUUAUGGCAUCACAUUCCAGUGUGACAAGGCAUUCCAGGUUGACAUCAAGUCUGUGAGAUUUGUAGGGAGUAAGCUGUGGAAAUAUAAUUUACUGUACAAUGUUGAUGAAAGUGUUUAAGAUUUGUGGAUGUUAUUUUGUUUUCCACAACUGUUUGAUUGGCAUUCCAGAAGUUGGUGAAUAAAAAGACAACAUACAGAUUUUUUGGCCCGACAAAUUCUGGUUUAUUGCACAAUGUCAUUUUUCAAUUUUGAUUCAACACUCACUGUCACUCCAGCUCGAUACCUCUGUUAAAAUCUACAUUGAAAUGUCCCUAUGGGUAAUAAACCAGAAGUUGUCAUCCAUAUGUGGUCAACAUAUGUUUUAUUAGUCACUUUAUAUAUCACCUUGGAAUAAAAGAAAUUAAAUUAAAAUUUGACACAUGAUUACUGAGAUUCUAAUUGUUGAAACCUUCUGUUGGUUUAAGCAUACAAUCACAAAAGAAAUGUUUCCCUAUGAUUGUAAUCAUAAAACAAAUUCCCAAAAGCAAUAGUUGUUUGUUAGUUUUGUUUGGAAAGUUUUUUGUUUUUGUUAUUUUUGACUAUUUUAUCUACAAAAGUGUUUGGAUUGGCAUCAUUACACGAGCACGUUUCCACACAACUAGUGAGGAGUAUAAUUUCUGAAGCUUAGUAGAAGCGAUUCUCUGCCCAGCAUAAACUGAAUCUAUAUUUGCAGAAACUAAACAAUGAAUAGUUAGUACUGACUGCAACCUACAAGGUAAUCUAGCUCCCAUUUGAAGCAUUACAGCCAAGAAUGAUAGGCUUAAAGUGUAAUCGUCAAAGAUAUGUCAAUUCUACCCAUGAGCCUAGAACGAUUCUAUGCUUUUUGUGAUUAUCAGUGGGUGAUUGUUCACUGCAUCAUUGUUCAUAAAGUGUCAUCUGAGCCUUCUUACACUGUAUGACUUUAUCGGUAAAGCGUGUAAAGCACCAUUGAGCAGCUGCAUAUAGCUGGAAAUAGGGGCUAUACAAAGCAAUUAUUAUUAUUAUUAUUAUUAUUACAUAGUCACUGCUCAUGGUUUGAAAUCAUAAUUUGUAUAUGAAAAAUACAGUACCAAUCACUGAAUAGGUUGUUAAAGAUAAACUUGUUAUGUCUUUAAGUUCUACCAACAUCAAUAUGUCUAUUAAAGGCUUGAUACUGGCUAAUAGCUUGAUAUUUUUCAUAAUGUGAGUGGGUCAGCUGAUGUGAAAUUAUUUAGCAAAAUAUUGAAAAUACACUGGGUUGUUACUGAAAUCUGGUUGAGAUUGACAGUGCAAGGAUCACAAUGCUGAACAAUACCAGUAUCAGUGUGUUGGUAGAUACAUGAAAUAGUGUCAGUAAUGUUUGGUGGAGUUGAUAUCACUGAAAUACACAAGUAUCAAUGUCUCUCAAUAGUUGCAUGUUAUAGUAUCAGGACAUGUGGUGGUAUUGAUAUCACUGAAAUAUACAAGUAUUGAUGUCUGUCAAUAGAAACAUGUUAUAGUAUCAGGAAUGGUCAUGUCAAUAUAAUGAUUACACAAUGCCAUUUAGAAAGUGGUCAAAUGUAACAUAUGUUAUAUUUGGGAUAACACUUUCUUAGUAAAAUAUAGAUUCUAGUACUUUUUGAGUUGAGCCCCAUCUGGGAUUCGAACUCACACCCUCAGAGUCAGGCACCUAAUCGCCAGCACACAAAGUCAGUUGAUAUCACUGAAGUCUACAAGUAUCAGUAUGUGCCUGUAGCUGUUCCUCAAGCAUUCACAUGAUAGUAUUCUACUCAACUUUUCUAGGGAUAAUCAGAUAUGUCAUUUAUUCAAUAAACACUUGGCAUCAUGCGAUUCAUUUGUAUGAAUCAUGGCAACAAAAGUGGAGGAAUGGGAGGCUUGGUGUGACUUUUACAGUGGCUAGCCACUUGGGGGAAUCUACUGCUGACUGUAAAACCCUUCAUGCCACUUACUAGAUCUAUUAAUGUCCCUCUUUUUUGGCUACUGGUGAUGUCACCCUGUCCGUUGCUAUGGCAACAUGUUGGUGCUACCUUUUAAUAUGUGCUUAGAAUUAGCAUAGAUUGAAAUUUUGAAUGUAGUUGGUAUUUGUAAGUGUUUUAAACCGAUGUUGUUUUAUUUCUUUUGAAUUACUCUUGUUGAGUUUGAAUUACAGAGUCAAAGGUUUGUUUACUAACGCAGAUUAACUGCAGUCAUAUGAAAACAUUGAGUGUUCUUUAACUACAUUUGAGUAGUAUAUGUUACACAUAGGUUGUAAGAAAAUUCCUUUGGAAACAUCUUUUAAAUCAUGAUUGAGAUGAAUUUAAAUAAAAAUUGACCACAGAAUUGUUUUGUUGGCUUCAAACAUUUAGAGCAGGUUUGUAAAACAAGUAUUUUUGGUGGGCCUUGAUAGUGUUAAUCUUGUUUAAACCAUGGAUGACAGGGUAGAGCCUUGUAUAGGACAUGUUGGAUCCAUGGCAUCCCAUGCUUGCUGUAAACUUGGUAUACAAAGUAGGAGUUAGUGGUUGGAGUAGACAGUUAUCACAAAGUCAAGUAUCUAUGGCUGGCUUAGAAGCAUUAUAAAUACUCAUGGGUUUUCAUGCAUUACAUUCAACUGCCACUACAUUCUUGCUAUUUUCAAACUCAAACUGUUUGUAAAAUACAAUUUCUUAACUGAACAGAACACAUUUUUUUAUUUACUUUCAAAACAGGUAAUGCAGAUCACAGCAUGUCUGAAAUAUAUAUGUCUAGUAUGCAUUAAUCAGUUUAUGUUCGACAUGAUAUUGUUCAUACAUUAGGAAUGCUUAAAUGUUUACCAAACAAGUUCAUGCUUAUUAUUAUUAGUAUAUUCAUGAAAACUCUAACUUUGAGCACAUCUGUAGUCCAAGAUGGAUUUUUUACUGCAUGUUUAUGGUCUGUUUCAUCACAUCUAAAAUCAGCCAAGGUAAAAAAGAUUACUUAUGUUCAGAUGUUUCUGAAAAUCGUAAAAGUUAGUCUUUGCGACACUUUAGGGUCUCAAGUAUAACCAUAACAUGGAUGAAUAACGACAAAGUCAGGUUCUCAUGUCUCAUAAACAUACCUGAUAAUUUUUAUGACAAUUUCAAACAGUUCUGCUAAUUUCUUAAAGUAUGCACAUCCCUUUGCCGUUUGGCCCAUAUGUCAUGACUGUUCUGAUAUAAUAAAUUAUUGAAACUUGGUUUGUGUCCCCAAAAGAACUGAUCCGGAAGAUGAGGUUUCUGGAUGACUUGGGUCCAAAAGGUAAUGCUUCUGUUCUACUGGGGUCAGGAAGGUGAUGUUUCUUGAUUAAUUAAGUACCAAAGUCGAUCAUUCUGGAUGACUGGGCCCCAGAAGGUGAUGUUCUUAGACUACUUGGGUCCAGAAGGUGAUGAUUCUUGAUUACCAGGUUUCAGAAGGCGUAUGAAGCUCCAGAAAGUCAUGUUUCUGAGUCUCUGGGUUACUGGGGUCAUGACCAAGUGGUUUCUCUGUAUAUUCCAGUUUUGUUUGAAUUGUCCCCUGUAUAUUUUUGUCAAUAUAUUAUCUAAAGUGGCACAUGGAGUUAUUACUUUAAAGAGGUUAACAUGGAUCUUCCAACUAGUCCAACUAUUUUUUACAGAAUUAUAUUUCUAUUAAUAAUUUGUGUAGAAAAACCUUACUUUACCAAAUAUAAUUAAUUUGUUUCAGAACCAUUUGUUUGACCAUGCGAACCUUUCAUGCCAACCAUUCGUCCAUCCUGCUCUGUACAAUCAUGUAUAUGUGUUUGUUAUGAACAUAUGUGAUAAUGUAAAAUAAAAAUAAAAUAUUGCAUGAAUUACA